rnacentral:rRNA from 1 species
GACGAACGCUGGCGGCGUGCCUAAUACAUGCAAGUCGAACGCUUUUUCUUUCACCGGAGCUUGCUCCACCGAAAGAAAAGGAGUGGCGAACGGGUGAGUAACACGUGGGUAACCUGCCCAUCAGAAGGGGAUAACACUUGGAAACAGGUGCUAAUACCGUAUAACAGUCGAAACCGCAUGGUUUCGAUUUGAAAGGCGCUUUUGCGUCACUGAUGGAUGGACCCGCGGUGCAUUAGCUAGUUGGUGAGGUAACGGCUCACCAAGGCAACGAGGCAGAGCCGAACUGAGAGGGUGAUCGGCCACAUUGGGACUGAGACACAGCCCAAACUCCUACGGGAGGCAGCAGUAGGGAAUCUUCGGCAAUGGACGAAAGUCUGACCGAGCAACGCCGCGUGAGUGAAGAAGGUUUUCGGAUCGUAAAACUCUGUUGUUAGAGAAGAACAAGGAUGAGAGUAAAAAGUUCAUCCCUUGACGGUAUCUAACCAGAAAGCCACGGCUAACUACGUGCCAGCCGCCGCGGUAA